UACGAAGGGGGGCUAGCGUUGCUCGGAAUGACUGGGCGUAAAGGGUGCGUAGGCGGGUUUUUAAGUCAGAGGUGAAAUCCUGGAGCUCAACUCCAGAACUGCCUUUGAUACUGAAAGUCUUGAGUAUGGGAGAGGUGAGUGGAACUGCGAGUGUAGAGGUGAAAUUCGUAGAUAUUCGCAAGAACACCAGUGGCGAAGGCGGCUCACUGGCCCAUUCUGACGCUGAGGAGCGAAAGCGUGGGGAGCGAACGAGG
rnacentral:rRNA from 1 species